CUUCAACGACCCAAGCCACACCGGGCGGUCACGGUCCUGCCCGUACGUCGCCAGCACCGCCUGGGCUUC
rnacentral:antisense_RNA from 1 species